CCUAGCGGCAGUAGCGCGGUGGUCCCACCUGACCCCAUGCCGAACUCAGAAGUGAAACGCCGUAGCGCCGAUGGUAGUGUGGGGUCUCCCCAUGCGAGAGUAGGGAACUGCCAGGC
rnacentral:rRNA from 5 species